rnacentral:rRNA from 1 species
UAGGGAAUCUUCGGCAAUGGACGGAAGUCUGACCGAGCAACGCCGCGUGAGUGAAGAAGGUUUUCGGAUCGUAAAGCUCUGUUGUAAGAGAAGAACGAGUGUGAGAGUGGAAAGUUCACACUGUGACGGUAUCUUACCAGAAAGGGACGGCUAACUACGUGCCAGCAGCCGCGGUAAUACGUAGGUCCCGAGCGUUGUCCGGAUUUAUUGGGCGUAAAGCGAGCGCAGGCGGUUAGAUAAGUCUGAAGUUAAAGGCUGUGGCUUAACCAUAGUAGGCUUUGGAAACUGUUUAACUUGAGUGCAAGAGGGGAGAGUGGAAUUCCAUGUGUAGCGGUGAAAUGCGUAGAUAUAUGGAGGAACACCGGUGGCGAAAGCGGCUCUCUGGCUUGUAACUGACGCUGAGGCUCGAAAGCGUGGGGAGCAAACGGGAUUAGAUACCCUGGUAGUCCACGCUGUAAACGAUGAGUGCUAGGUGUUAGACCCUUUCCGGGGUUUAGUGCCGUAGCUAACGCAUUAAGCACUCCGCCUGGGGAGUACGACCGCAAGGUUG